GCGUUUCUACCAAAAGACAAGAAAAACGAUGGUUAAUGAUUCGGUCGGCACAGAAGUCAGUUUGGGGGUUCUGAGGAUAGCCAGGGAACCUUUCUAGAGGUCAACUUGAAGCAUCUUCAGAGACAGUGAGAGGCGGCUGCAGCGUCCUGACGGAUUUUCCUGGUUUGUGGUUCAAAUGUCUCUGGCACACACGGCGACAGGCCUGAAGAUCGUCUCUUUAUGAGCUGCUGCAGUGAUUUCCCUGAAGUUUACAUGAGGCCCUUUACAUCUAGUUUGCAAGGCUUGGGGGGAGGGGCAGUUUUUGUUCUCAAAUGAAUCCACUCUUCUGACUGUUUGUCACAUUUCCCAAGGAUCUCUCAGCGGUCCGGGGCCAAUGGUGUCUGAUGAGGUUUCGGAGCAGUGGUGGGGUCCAGAGCCAACAGCCAACCAAGAACUCUUGAGACAUCUUGGGUGCAAAAAGCUUUAGAUGUUGAAGAUGACUUCCUACGCCAGCAGGGGGCGCUGGCCUCACACAAGCGUCUGGAGCCCUCUCCUGCUGGGGCUGACACCUGACCGCUGGCCCCAGUCUCCAAGACACCCUCCGGUCUCUUCAUUUCCACUCACAAAAAUACACGAUAAGACCCAGUUCCUGGAAGAAUGAUCUUUGCAAAUUAAGUUAUCGUGAGUUAUGUGAACCCCCAACCUGCAAGAGCCAAGGCUAGACUGGCUGUCUGCCUCCUGCCCUUUGCUUCCCACUUAAAAAUCCAAGUCACCAUGAA